GCCUCCGUGGCCUAACGGAUAAGGCGUCGGCUUUCUAAGCCGAAGAGUGCGGGUUCGAAUCCCGCCGGAGGUA
rnacentral:tRNA from 1 species